rnacentral:rRNA from 1 species
CAGCCGCCGCGGUAAUACGAAGGGGGCUAGUGUUGCUCGGAAUGACUGGGCGUAAAGGGCGCGUAGGCGGCGAUCAAAGUCAGGCGUGAAAUUCCUGGGCUCAACCUGGGGGCUGCGUUUGAUACUUGGUUGCUUGAGUGGGGAAGAGGGUCGUGGAAUUCCCAGUGUAGAGGUGAAAUUCGUAGAUAUUGGGAAGAACACCGGUGGCGAAGGCGGCGACCUGGUCCUUUACUGACGCUGAGGCGCGAAAGCGUGGGGAGCAAACAGGAUUAGAUACCCGCGUAGUCCCUGUCUCUUAUAC